AGAGAAGGCCCAUAGUUCAGUGGCAGAACAGCUGCUUCACAUGCAGAAGGUCUCAGGCUCAAUUCCUGGCAUCUCUA